GCGGAUGUGGCUCAGUUGGUAGAGCUCCAGCUUCCCAAGCUGGGAGUCGCGGGUUCGAGUCCCGUCAUCCGCUCCA
rnacentral:tRNA from 12 species